AAACCGAGUCUUAACCGGGCGUUAAGUUGCAGGGUAUAGACCCGAAACCCGGUGAUCUAGCCAUGGGCAGGUUGAAGGUUGGGUAACACUAACUGGAGGACCGAACCGACUAAUGUUGAAAAAUUAGCGGAUGACCUGUGGCUGGGGGUGAAAGGCCAAUCAAACCGGGAGAUAGCUGGUUCUCCCCGAAAGCUAUUUAGGUAGCGCCUCGUGAAUUCAUCUCCGGGGGUAGAGCACUGUUUCGGCUAGGGGGCCAUCCCGGCUUACCAACCCGAUGCAAACUGCGAAUACCGGAGAAUGUUAUCACGGGAGACACACGGCGGGUGCUAACGUCCGUCGUGAAGAGGGAAACAACCCAGACCGCCAGCUAAGGUCCCAAAGUCAUGGUUAAGUGGGAAACGAUGUGGGAAGGCCCAGACAGCCAGGAUGUUGGCUUAGAAGCAGCCAUCAUUUAAAGAAAGCGUAAUAGCUCACUGGUCGAGUCGGCCUGCGCGGAAGAUGUAACGGGGCUAAACCAUGCACCGAAGCUGCGGCAGCGACACUGUGUGUUGUUGGGUAGGGGAGCGUUCUGUAAGCCUGUGAAGGUGUGUCGUGAGGCAUGCUGGAGGUAUCAGAAGUGCGAAUGCUGACAUAAGUAACGAUAAAGCGGGUGAAAAGCCCGCUCGCCGGAAGACCAAGGGUUCCUGUCCAACGUUAAUCGGGGCAGGGUGAGUCGACCCCUAAGGCGAGGCCGAAAGGCGUAGUCGAUGGGAAACGGGUUAAUAUUCCCGUACUUGGUGUUACUGCGAAGGGGGGACGGAGAAGGCUAUGUUGGCCGGGCGACGGUUGUCCCGGUUUAAGCGUGUAGGUGUGUGUUCCAGGUAAAUCCGGUUCACUUUAACACUGAGGCGUGA
rnacentral:rRNA from 1 species